rnacentral:snRNA from 1 species
AUCGCUUCUCGGCCUUUUGGCUAAGAUCAAGUGUAGUAUAAUCCUAACAGCCAAUUAAAAAAAAAUCAAAUUUCCCAUCAAUU